AAAAUCAAAUAAAUUACGUAGAGAGUUACAGAAUAAGUUUAAUUAG
rnacentral:guide_RNA from 1 species